CCUACGGGUGGCAGCAGUGAGGAAUAUUGGUCAAUGGGCGCGAGCCUGAACCAGCCAAGUAGCGUGAAGGAUGACUGUCCUACGGGUUGUAAACUUCUUUUGUCAAGGAAUAAAGUGAGGCACGCGUGCCUUUCUGUGUGUACUUUAUGAAUAAGGAUCGGCUAACUCCGUGCCAGCAGCCGCGGUAAUACGGAGGAUUCGAGCGUUAUCCGGAUUUAAUGGGUUUAAAGGGUGGGGAGAGGGGAUGUUAAGUCAGGUGUGAAAGUUUGGGGCUCAACCGUUAAAGUGCCUGUGAUACUGGCAGUCUUGAGUACGGUUGAGGUAGGCGGAAUGCGUGGUGUAGCGGUGAAAUGCUUAGAUAUCACGAAGAACUCCGAUUGCGAAGGCAGCAUACCAAACUGCCACUGACAUUGAUGCUCGAAAGUGUGGGUAUCAAACAGGAUUAGAUACCCUAGUAGUC
rnacentral:rRNA from 1 species